rnacentral:pre_miRNA from 1 species
GUAUUUUAGGGCUUGAUCCAAAGCCCUGUGAAAUCAAUAGGAGUCAUUCCAUUGCCUUCAGUGGGCUUUGGUUCAAACCCUUAUUUC